rnacentral:tRNA from 2 species
UGGCGGGUAGUUCAAUCGGCAGAACAGCGGGUUUUGGUCCCGAAGGUUGAGGGUUCGAUUCCUUCCCCGCCAGCCA